rnacentral:rRNA from 1 species
GACGAACGCUGGCGGCGUGCUUAACACAUGCAAGUCGAACGGAAAGGCCCUGCUUUUGUGGGGUGCUCGAGUGGCGAACGGGUGAGUAACACGUGAGUAACCUGCCCUUGACUUUGGGAUAACUUCAGUAAACUGGGGCUAAUACCGGAUAGGAGCUCCUGCUGCAUGGUGGGGGUUGGUCAGUUUCGGCGGUUGGGGAUGGACUCGCGGCUUAUCAGCUUGUUGGUGGGGUAGUGGCUUACCAAGGCCUGGACGGGUAGCCGGACUGAGAGGGUGACCGGCCACAUUGGGACUGAGAUACGGCCCAGACGCCUACGGGAGGCAGCAGGGGGGAAUAGUGCACAAUGGGCGGAAGCCUGAUGCAGCAACGCCGCGUGCGGGAUGACGGCCUUCGGGUUGGAAACCGCGUUCGCCUGUGACGAAGCGUGAGUGACGGUAAUGGGUAAAGAAGCACCGGCUAACUACGUG